GAAACUGCCUCAUAGACUUCAGAGGGAUACUACGUCAUGUGGUGUAUUUGCAGUGAAGUUUGCAGUUUUCUUUUCUUAUUACUUCCCAAGUUUGCAGAACACAUUCUUCAGAUUCACUUCCUAAAUACAUCACAAGACAUAAUGCGAAUCAGAAUGGAAAUAGCUUUGACUGUACUCUGUCAAUCUGAUUUCCUGUGAUGGCUGUGGACGAUGGUUCCAUGCAGAGUGUUUGGGAAAUCCAUUACCUUGUUUACGUA